UUGAUGUCAAUUGCAUAUUCCUAAUUCAUACUUUCUUCUCUCCAUUUCAUAAAUAUUUGUUUUCCAGGUAUCACAGAAAGAAUUGAAAGGCAAGGUUGUCAGACAGAUAUGGCAGCUAAGACACCAACUGAGGAAUGUUAUCAAUGUAGCUCCGUGAAAUUGCCAUAUUUUACAUCCUGCAGUUCUGCAGUCAAGUGGUGGUAUUUUUGUCACAGCCCACAUCAAAGCCCAGAUGGCGUGAGGGAGGGAUGGAAAUGGGGCUCCAUAACCCCCAGGAACUCUGAAGAUUUCAUCUCCUAAGUGGUAUUGUCCAUCUGUUUCUGCAACUUCCUUAGCAACUUGACAAGAGCCAGAAUCCAGACGCUGGGAAAUGUGAAUGUUCCAACAUGGCUGACCAUCAUGGAAUGAGAUCAACAGAUGGAAAUAGGAGGCUUCAUCUUCUUCAUCUUUGUCCUGAGGCUCCAUCAGCCAGGUUUCCAGCACACAUUAAACCCAGUGCCACCCUUUCCCUGGGACCAGCAGACAAUUGUACCCAUUAUUUUCUGGUUCUAAGGAAGGAUAAACUUCCUUCUAAGGCUUCAGGGAUGACAGAUGCCUUCUUGGGUAAGUGAGGAGACUGAA
ensembl:lincRNA